rnacentral:rRNA from 1 species
AUUGAACGCUGGCGGCGUGCUUAACACAUGCAAGUCGAACGAAGACGUCUGAGUGCUUGCACUUGGAUGGACUGAGUGGCGGACGGGUGAGUAACGCGUGGGUAACCUGCCUUAUACAGGGGGAUAACAGUUGGAAACGACUGCUAAUACCGCAUAAGCGCACAGCAUCGCAUGAUGCAGUGUGAAAAACUCCGGUGGUAUAAGAUGGACCCGCGUCUGAUUAGCUUGUUGGUGAGGUAACGGCCCACCAAGGCGACGAUCAGUAGCCGGCCUGAGAGGGUGAACGGCCACAUUGGGACUGAGACACGGCCCAAACUCCUACGGGAGGCAGCAGUGGGGAAUAUUGCACAAUGGGGGAAACCCUGUUGCAGCGACGCCGCGUGAGUGAUGAAGUAUUUCGGUAUGUAAAACUCUAUCAGCAGGGAAGAUAAUGACGGUACCUGACUAAGAAGCACCGGCUAAAUACGUGCCAGCAGCCGCCGUAACAC